AUUUGUAUUCGAAUGUCGUCUUUCGCCAUGACAUUUGGUUAUGAAGAUGCCUUAACAGCCCAUGCUAUCCAUUUUUGUUGUACGUAUUGCGUGAUGUGAUAGGGUCGCUUGAAGCAUUGACAAAGCCAGAAUUUUUAUUAAAGGGGUUCAAAAUAUGAAGAGGUAAGCACGUGAAGAAACCUAGAGAUUCAACAUCUACUAUAAGUACAUAAAAAAUAAUUUUG
rnacentral:lncRNA from 1 species